GACGAACGCUGGCGGCGUGCUUAACACAUGCAAGUCGAACGGAAAGGCCCUGCUUUUGUGGGGUGCUCGAGUGGCGAACGGGUGAGUAACACGUGAGUAACCUGCCCUUGACUUUGGGAUAACUUCAGGAAACUGGGGCUAAUACCGGAUAGGAGCUCCUGCUGCAUGGUGGGGGUUGGAAAGUUUCGGCGGUUGAGGAUGGACUCGCGGCUUAUCAGCUUGUUGGUGGGGUAGUGGCUUACCAAGGCUUUGACGGGUAGCCGGCCUGAGAGGGUGACCGGCCACAUUGGGACUGAGAUACGGCCCAGACUCCUACGGGAGGCAGCAGUGGGGAAUAUUGCACAAUGGGCGGAAGCCUGAUGCAGCAACGCCGCGUGCGGGAUGACGGCCUUCGGGUUGUAAACCGCUUUCGCCUGUGGCGAAGCGUGAGUGACGGUAAUGGGUAAAGAAGCACCGGCUAACUACGUG
rnacentral:rRNA from 1 species